GACAGAGGUGCCGAGCGUUAGGCGGAAUCACUGGGCUUAAAGCGUGUGUAGGCGGGUCGUUAAGUGUCUUGUGAAAUCCCACCGCUCAACGGUGGAACUGCUGGGCAUACUGGCGAUCUUGAGCCACCUAGGGGCAGACGGAACAAGCGGUGGAGCGGUGAAAUGCGUAGAGAUCGGAAGGAACGUCAAUGGCGAAGGCAGCUGUCUGGACUGAUACUGACACUGAGGCGCGAAAGCGUGGGGAGCAAACAGG
rnacentral:rRNA from 1 species